CCCCGCGGAAUAAGCGGGGCCAGGAGCCCCGGAAACCCGGCGCCUUAAUGCAAUAAACAGGAAAUCGCGGGGAUGAUCUGGGUUCCGGGGGAAGUGGAAUUAUUUUUUACCAGCGAAGAGAUCAACUUCCACAUCCGGUGGUAACAGGGCCCUACACAGACCCGCACUGACCUGGAAAAGCUUCGGGAGCGGCGACGGGAAGGCAGCAGGAGGUGGUGCGGGGACCCGAGGCGCCUCGUACCCGGCCGGGCUGACGCGGCCCCGCUACACACAAAGCGCUUCAGCAGCACAGGGCGCUAUUUUCCGAAAAUGCCGCGUCUGGUCGGCGCCCAAAAUCCCCACCGAAAAGUCCCCCGUGCUGCGCGCGGAGGGACACAUGGUGUGCGAGUGAGUCAAGCUCCCAGCAUCCCUCCCGGACCCGGCCCUCGUCAGCUGCUCGCCCGAGGAUUUUCCGCCUCUGCACUCAUCGGCAGAUCCCGCUCCUACCCACUCCCUGACUCUGUUCCCACCGGGAGAGAGGGGAAAGAGAGUCUGAUUUCUUAACGAAAGGGAUGAAAAUAUGCCAUUUCUAGCGCUUCAGCCACACAAAGAAAGCGGCGGAAUGAUCCGCUCUCGGCGACCGCAAGUCCCGGCCCACCCGGCGCCUGCGCGGCAGCGGGGGUGGGAGCUGCGGCCGGCCAUGUGCGCGGCGGAGAGGCUAGGUGGCCGCGGAGCCUUCCCGCCUGUUUCUGCGGUGGGUAGUAGUUUGGAAACUAAUGUUCUGUGCUAACCUUCGUGUCUCUGUGACAUGACCGUUUAAAGACGGAGAGUGCGGAAUCUUUGGACUUUAAGCUUGCCAACUGAGCGGCCUAGCAGAAUCCUGGGAGACGGAAGGACAGCCAGGAGGCUAGGAUUUACCUUUUAAGUGUCCCUAGAUUCAACUAGUCAAACUGGGACGGGAGACGCUGUGAAGGUACCAGGGAAGGAACGAGUGAGGUUCCUUUUCCACUUUUGCAUAAACUCAACGGUCAGAUUCAUGACAAGGAUGUACAUAUUUCUGUAGAUUUUUUUCCCGAGCAUUCUAAUGAUGCCUCAUAUUUCGUAGAUCCUAGUAACUGCUUGGAUUACUGCCACCUCAGAGGUAGAGAUCUGUUUUUCCGUGGCUGGAAUGUCAAAACUUUUGUUGUAUUUUAUUAAGUAGCACAAGUUUGGAGAUUUGCAAGGUUAAAAAAAAAAAAAGCUUUAUGAACUUAAUCUAGAUGUGAUUUGCUAAGGAACUUAACAUAUUGAUAUGUUUUUCGCAGGAGAGUCAGGGCAUGGCUUUCCCAACCUAGUAACUGCAACUUAUAGCAUCCUACAUCUAGGACUUGGGAGUAUGUGAGACAGCGCCAAGAAUUUAAUCCAGGAGAACUGACAAGCUUAAAUGAAAUCCAUAUUGCCCACUGAUUUUGUGCAGCCUCAGAUAAGUAAUCUUUCUCCAUUUAGCUUUUUGUAACAAUUGAUGUAAUAAAGGUUUGUAGUCUUUGCGUAAUUUA